AUAACAUUCUAGAGAGAGAAAGGGAGGAGAAAUUUAGAGAGAAAUCAAUUUUUGACCAAAAUCUAAGCCCCGAAUCGCGAAGCUCAUGAAGGGAAAAGUGUUGUACGCUGCGUUGUCUUCAAUUUGAGCUAAAAAUCAACCAAGGAGGAGGGUGAUAACGUGGUGGCUGAAUUCUUAAGAUUUUGGCGAAUUUGAAACUUGAUUUUGGAGACGUGUAUGAAGCGGAAAAGGUCAACAGACAGACGGGUUUAAUCCCUAGGAGCUUCACCAGCUGUUCCUUGAGAGUGCUCCAGUUGAUCCGGAGCUUCAGCCUAUUGGUACUACUUUUAUGUAUAUAAUCG